CCUCUCUCUCCAUCCUGCUCUUACACUUUGAACUCUCUGCCUUUACACAUUGUUGUUCCUGGUGGGACAUGCCGAGAAAGGAGUCUGGAGACUAAUUCCACAGAGAAGUCAGCGUACCAUUGUUUGAGCUGGGUUUUGAACUAUGGGAAGAUGUUGAUGGUGAGAUUUGCAAGAAAGAGACUCUAGGUGGGAGGUUUGUGAUGGUUAAUAUCGAAUGUCAACUUGAUUGGAUUGAAGGAUGCAGAGGGUGUUGCCAAAGGAGAUUAACAUUUGAGUCAGUGGACUGGGAAAGGCAGACCCACCCUCAAUCUGGGUGGGCACCAUCCAAUCAGCUGCCAGUGUGUGUCCAGGAUAAAAGCAGGUAGAAGAACAUGAAAAGACUAGACUGGCUUAGCCUCCUGGCCUACAUCUUUCUCCCGCACUGGAUGCUUCCUGCCCUCAAACAUUGGACUCCAAGUUCUUCAGCUUUGGGACUCAGACUGGCUUCCUUGCUUGCAGACGGCCUAUGUGGGACCUCACCUUGUGAUCGUUGAGGAAACUGAGGCCCCAAAUCACAA
rnacentral:lncRNA from 1 species